rnacentral:lncRNA from 1 species
CGCUAGGGCGGGAGCGGCGUGGAGUGGAAGGAGAGCGCUCCUUCCUAUGUGUCCUAGAGCAUUGAUUCCGCUCGUGCGGCGUGCAGGACCCUAUCCUGGAGCCCGCCGCCCCCACCGCUUGCAGGGUGCUUUCAUGCAGCGGAGUUGUAAGUCUGGUUGGUGAAAAGGGACGAGUAGCGGAAAAGUUGAACUUCCAGGCCCGUGGUGGGUUCUUUCCUGGAAGGACUUACUGAUCUGUGUAAAAAGUCCCUAUCUCCUCCCCACCAAUAGUGCACAAUCCCACAAUUGGGAAAGGAGGAAUGUAGACAAAAAGUCCAAAUUUUAGAUUGUUCGGGCCACCUUCUAGAGGGACAUUUACUGGGUGCCUACUUUUUGUAAGCGUUACACCAGGCCUUGGGCCUCGCCCCAUGGGAGUUCUAUUUGGAGUGUGGCUAUAAACAAGGAAAAACUGAACUCCGGGGCUCUGGGUUGACUCCUUCGAAGAAGAUCCUUUAUUGAGUGGCUGUUGUGCGCAGGGCCCUGGCAACUCAAAUAUUAGUGAGGGGGUUGGAACAGGUAAAGAAAAAGUAACUCCUGGGCUUUUAGUGAAUCAUUUAUUCAAGGAGCAUUUAUUGGGCAUCAACUGAAAACAGGGUCAUGUGCUGGGCUAUGUUAUUGUGGGAAUUCACGGUCCAUCGGGAAAGUUGUCUGUUGGGAGAAGUGGCAUGGGCACAGGGAGAGUUAGACUCUCAUGGCCUCACUUCCUAGAAGGAGCAUUAUUCAUUCACAGAAUAUCUACUGAGUACCUGUUGUGGGCUAAUCAUUGUUCUUGGUGCUGGAAAUGUAUCAGUGAUGAAGAGGCUAACUUCCCUGCUCUCUGGGAGCUUAAUAUGAGCAACUUUGCCUGCCUGACUAUGUCUGGCACCAUGGGGCAUGCGUCCGCUUCUGAGUCACAUGUUCAUUGACAACUGAGGCUCCAGCACUGGAUCCAGGCUUGCUGAUUGAUAGAGGCUGGUGAGUGAGGGGACAAGCUGGAAAGCUCCUGAGCUGCCCCCCGCC